rnacentral:rRNA from 1 species
AGAGUUUGAUUCUGGCUCAGGAUGAACGCUGGCGGCGUGCCUAACACAUGCAAGUCGAGCGAGAAAUAUAUUUAUGAAGCUUCGGUAGAUUAGAUAUAUGGAAAGCGGCGGACGGGUGAGUAACGCGUAGGCAACCUGCCCCUUGCAGAGGGAUAGCCAUUGGAAACGAUGAUUAAAACCUCAUAACACCAAAGAGUCACAUGGCAUUUUGGUCAAAGAUUUAUCGGCAAGGGAUGGGCCUGCGUCUGAUUAGCUGGUUGGUGGGGUAACGGCCUACCAAGGCGACGAUCAGUAGCCGACCUGAGAGGGUGAUCGGCCACAUUGGAACUGAGACACGGUCCAA